AGUGAACGCUGGCGGUAGGCCUAACACAUGCAAGUCGAACGGCAGCACAGGAGAGCUUGCUCUCUGGGUGGCGAGUGGCGGACGGGUGAGGAAUACAUCGGAAUCUACUCUGUCGUGGGGGAUAACGUAGGGAAACUUACGCUAAUACCGCAUACGACCUACGGGUGAAAGCAGGGGAUCUUCGGACCUUGCGCGAUUGAAUGAGCCGAUGUCGGAUUAGCUAGUUGGCGGGGUAAAGGCCCACCAAGGCGACGAUCCGUGGCUGGUCUGAGAGGAUGAUCAGCCAACCUGGAACAGAGACCAGGUCCAGACUCCUACGGGAGGCAGCAGUGGGGAAUAUUGGACAAUGGGCGCAAGCCUGAUCCAGCCAUACCGCGUGGGUGAAGAAGGCCUUCGGGUUGUAAAGCCCUUUUGUUGGGAAAGAAAUCCAGCUGACUAAUACCCGGUUGGGAUGACGGUACCCAAAGAAUAAGCACCGGCUAACUUCGUGCCAGCCGCCGCCGUAA
rnacentral:rRNA from 1 species